UAAUUAUCUAACCAUAUACGUGAAGAAACAGAGACUCAGAGAAGUUGAGAUAUUGCUUAAACCACAGCACUAUUUAGGGCAAAACCAACAAGAAGUUUCAUGACCCCCCAGUCCAUUGUCGUCUGAACUGGAUUAUCGGCUUUACUUAUUGCUUAGUGAUGAUAUGAUAUAUGUUCCAGGGAAGCAUAUGAUCUGACCUUCAUCUGAACACAAUAGACUGGUUCUGAUUUUUCCAGCCAAAGAGAAAGUAUUUGGGUUUUGAGCAUCUUUUUAACUGAGAACAUUCCUCUUCCUGGCUAUGAAAACCUUCCCCUAUGUAGUAGGAAGACUGCUACACUAACCAGACUUCACCCAUUGCUUUCCAAAAACCAAUGUGAAAAGGCUAUUGAACUGAACAGUGUAUUGUUUUGUCUGCAGCUUAUCCAGCAUGCAAAAAUACAGACUUUCUCAGUGUGCAUUGUUCUGUGUUCAGUUUCACAACUGUAAAGAAUAACUUAUUCCAUGUAAGAUUUUGUGUUGUGCCUAAAACACGAAAUAAUCCCCCUAGGACCUACUAGAAAAGUAUCUUAUGCUAUAAGAACACUGAUCAUUUCUGCUACAAGCACACAUAGAGGUUGUGUUCUAAAGUGUUAAUCUUCCUCUGGGGGUGGCUAGAGAACAGCUUACAAAGCGGGGAGAAAUCUGGCUCAUGUCGACAAAGCACUCACAGCUCUUUAGAAGAGAAGUAUUGUGUAAGUGCAAAGCUAUAAUUAUAUAAAAGCAUUCAGAGGAUAAUAUUAGCCAUAAUUGUAUUAAAUAUUAAUAUUAAUGCAAAUGGUGGCUAAGAGCUUAAAGAAGAGCUUAUAAACUGUAACAGUCAAUAACAGUGGAGUAAAGGUAUAUAAAAUUUGUAUAUUCCCAACCAUGCAUACCAGACAAACCCAACAAACUGAAAACUAAUAAGUUGCUAAAA
rnacentral:lncRNA from 1 species